rnacentral:lncRNA from 1 species
AUCUUUUUGUUUCCCAGGACAAAGGGGCAAAUUCAGCAUGUGAUGAGUGUUGGGGCUUCAGGACAAUACAAGGAAGUUUGGCUCUGGUUCAUGCCCACUGCCCACCAUGGCAUUGCCAUCAUGCCCU